CUGUCGUCAUACGCGCGCGCCACCACCGCUCGCCUGGGAAGCCGGCGAGCUGUAGAGCUGUCAUGGCGAGCUCCGCGGCCUCCUCGGUGCGACCGCCGAGGCCCAAGAAAGAGCCGCAGGCCCUCGUCAUCCCGAAGAAUGCGGCGGAGGAACAGAAGCUCAAGCUGGAACGGCUCAUGAAGAACCCGGACAAAACAGUUCCAAUUCCAGAAAAAAUGAGCGAAUGGGCACCUCGACCUCCCCCAGAAUUUGUCCGAGAUGUAAUGGGUUCAAGUGCUGGGGCUGGCAGCGGAGAGUUCCAUGUGUACAGGCACUUGCGCCGGAGAGAGUACCAGCGGCAGGACUACAUGGAUGCCAUGGCUGAGAAGCAAAAAUUGGAUGCAGAGUUUCAGAAAAGACUAGAAAGGAAUAAAAUUGCCGCGGAGGAACAGACUGCAAAGCGUCGGAAAAAGCGUCAGAAGUUAAAAGAGAAGAAAUUAUUGGCAAAGAAAAUGAAACUUGAGCAGAAGAAACAAAAAGAAGGCCUGCCUGCCAAAGAAACCCAGGGUGAUCUUAAGUGACUAAGUACAUCAAGAGCAGUUUCUCAAAGUUGGGGAGGAGAAAAGAAGUGGUAAGGGACGUGGAGGUAACUAACUUCCUGUUACAAAAUAAAUGAGCCACAGGUAUGAAAUAUAUAGUGUGGGGAAUAUAGUCAAUAACUAAUGUUUUUGUAUGGUGACAGAUGACAGCUGGACUUAUAAUGGUGGUCAUUUUGAAGUGUAUAGAUAUAUCAAAUCACUGUGUUGUGUCCCAGGAACUGAUGUAGAAUUCUGGGUCAAUAAUACUUCAGAAUAAACAAACGAACAAACUCAUAGAAAAAAGAUCAGAUUUGUGGCUGCGGAGGCAAGCGGGUAGGAGGAAGGGGAAUUAGAUCUUCAUCUAGUCAAAAGGUAUAAACUUCUGGUUACAAAUAAAUAAGUACUGAGGCUGUAAUGUACAACGUGACAAAGAUAAUUAACACUGCUUUACAUUAUAAAUGAACAUUGUUAAGAGAGUUCUUAUCAAAAGGAAAAAAUUUCUUCUACUUUAAUAUUGUAUCUAUGUGAGAUGAUAGAUGUUCACUAAACCUAUUGUAGUCAUCAUUUCAAAAUUGAGUGAAGGAAAAAAAAAAAACUCCAAAAAAAAAAAAAACUGGGUGGGGAAAAAAGCAGUUUCUCAGCCUCAGCACUCUUGAUGCUUUGGACCAGAUAAUUCUCUUUGUAAGGGAUUAUAUCCUGUUCAUUGUAGGAUAUUGAACAACAUCGUGGCUUCUACCCACUACAUGCCAGCAGCACCCAUCCUCCCCUCAGUCGCUGACAACUGAAAAUGUCUCCAGGCUUUGCCACAUGUUCCCUGGUGGGGGAGGGGGACAAAAUUUUCCCAAGCAAUAAGAUUCAUAUCUCAAGUAGGAUCUGAUGCUCAGAAGGCACUCAGUUUGUGUUUUGUAUUGAACUAGUUGUUUCAGUGCCAAAAUUCUUGUACAUACAAUGUUGGAAAACUAUUCAUAUCCGUUGUGUCUUUUGAGAAUAAAGGUAAUAUAUGAUCAUUUUAGAAAUUUUUAGAAUAUGCAGAAAAGAAUAAAGUCAGAAAUUUAAAUUACCUAUAAUUCUUACUAAAAAAAUCACUAGCAUUUUCAUAUUUAUUUCAAUUUUUAGUAUUAUAUAAACCUAUUUAUGUAAUUACCAUAUUUAUAGUUGUUCUAAUUUUAUCAUAUAACAUUGCAUCACAAAUAUUUUCACAUGUCCUUGCAAUUUCGUAGUACAAGGAAGGAUUUUUGUCCCCCCUAGUCUGUUCACUCAUCUAGUUUAAAAAAAAAGUUAAUGUCAGUUCUACUUAAAACUCAGUGCCGUUUUACCUAGUAUUCCUAUGAUCUGUGAAUAAAAUCUCAGGUUCCUAGAUUUUAAGAUACUAUGUAAACAAUAGUAUAAGUAAUAAAAGCUCAAACAUCAUCAUCCGAAUCUGUCACCUUUCUAUCCAUUUUCUUUUAAUCUCUCCAUAUGCACAUGUCAUUUGUAUAUCGUUAUAGUGUAUGAACAGUUUUCCAUUUUGCUUAUUUUACUUAACAUUAUAAGCAUUUCCAGUCCUUCAUAAUUCUUUCAGUGACUCAUAAUAUCCAGCAAUUGACAUAUCGUGAUAUCCCUAACCCUCUCCUUUUUGUUAGAUACUGGAUUGAUUCCAGUGUUUUUCUUCUUUGGAAGAUAUUUUAUUGAAUUUAUGUACCUGUCUCCCUUCCCCCUUUCUGGGUCAUUUCCUUCAGAUAAAGUUCCAGCAGUGGGAAUUACUAGACCACAGAGUAUAAAAAGAUUUCAUAGUUCUUGAAAUGUAUUGCCAGUUUCUUCCCGAAGGAAUGGCACCAGUUUUUACUGCCGUCAGCAGUGUGCAAUGGUGUACACUUUUACUGUCUCCUUGCCAGCACUGGCUUUUAAAAAUUAUUCCUCCACAGGAAUAAGUAUGUGACUUCAGAGGAAGUCAAAGUCUCAUUGAGGGUUUAGUAAAAACCUUAUAACAAUAUCGAUCCCGAUCCGGCAGAGCUAUGGUAGCAGCCUCCACUCUCUUCCUCGCCGACCCCCACGCCACCCACCUUGUACAGCCUCCCUCCAAAGCUCUUGUUAAAACAGAGAUUGGAUUGUCAUUUGUUCUCCUCCUAAUAUAAGUAUUUAGCAUCUAUUGAACAUUUAUUAUGUAGCCCCAGUCCUGAGUGCUUUGCAGGUACUAACUAACAUAAUCCUCACAGCGGCCCUGUGAGACAGGCAGUGAUGUUAUCCCCAUCUUACAACUGAGGGAUCCUAGGGAACAAGCGGUAACAGCACCCGCAGAGCUAGUGGGAGUGAGUGAGGGGCCGGGAUCUGAUCCCAGAUGGUGCGUCUCCGCUGCCUUGUGCUUACCCACGAGGUGAUCUUGCUUGAACCCCCGUCAGCAGCCCCUCAUUCCCACCCGUGCUGGGGUCUCCACCAUUGUGUUCUGGCCACUCCCUUGCAUGUUUCCUCCGCUCUUGCCAAGCUUACACCUCUGUUCUCCCACCUCGCUGUACAUGCUCAGGCCUCUGUUCUCUUUCUUUUUCUUGCUCCCUGACUCCCCAUCUGCCUGGAAAGCUGCUUCUCAUCUUGCACCUUCCUCCCUUGGUAAAGCCUUUCCUAACGUCUCUCACCACCCCAGCCUCCACCUUGCUCCCAGAGGGUUUUGCACAUGCUUGGUUAUAGAAUCUGCUAAAUCACAUCAUGUGCUUAUCUAUUCACCUGCAGUCUCAGUUCCAUGAGGGUAGGCAGUGUCUUUUUUUUUUUUUUUUAAAUUAAAAAACUGUUUUAGAAUGGUUUUAGAUUUAUAGAAAUAGUGCAGAGAUAGUAUAGUACAAAGAAUUCCCAUAUACCCAGUUUUUCUUGUUAACAUCUUAAGUUAAUGUGGUUCAUUUGUCACAACUGAUGAACCAAUAUUGAUACAUGUAUUAGUUAAAGCCCAUACUUUACAUUUCUUUAAUUUUUUUACCUAAUGCCUUUUUCUUGUUCCAGAAUCCCAUCCAGGAUAUCACAUUACAUUUACUCAUCAUGUAUCCUUAGGCUCCUGUUGGCGCUGACGGUUUCUCACUCUGUUUUGAUGACCCUGAGAGGUUUGAGGGUCAGGUGUUGUGUCAGAUGUCCCUCAGUUUGAAUUUUUCUGAUGUUUUUCUCAUGAUUGGACUGGAGUUGUUUAUCUUGGGGAGGAAGACCACAGAGAUAAGUGCCAUUCUUAAUGUCAGGGCGGGAUCCUUGUCAAGAUGACUUGUCACUGUGGAUUUGACCUUGAGCGGCUGCUCAGGCUGUGCCCAUCAGGGUUCUCCACCUUGAAGUUGCUCUUUUCUUCCCCCUUCCCACGCUGUGCACUUCGGAAAGUGGUGACUGUGCGCAGCCCACACUGAAGGAGUGCGGGUGCUGUGCACUCCCUCCAUGAGGAUGGAGGGGCUGCGUGAGUUGCUGGGAACUCUUCUGCACAGGGUUGCCUCUCCUCCCUCAUUUCUUCCUUUAUACCAGCAUGGACUCAGGGAUAUUUAUUUUGCACUUCAGGUUUAACCCGGUACUGCUCUUCUUGCUCAGACUGGUCCAGCUUUGGCCAUUGGGAGCUCUUUCAUUUGGCUCCUGUGCUCCUUUUACAUUCUCCCAUCAUUGUGGGGUGUUGGGGGGUUUUGUUUUGUUUUUAACAGCACUUCCUGACUUCCUGGUACCACAAGGUAGUCCAUACUUACCUUGAGUAUUUCCUGCCCCUCACCUAGAGUCAGCCAUUUCUCCAAGAGUCCUUUUCUUUUUUACUAGAGACUGAAAUAAUUUUGUUGUAUUACCAAAGGAUUUGAAUGAGCCCCAGAUUCCUAGGUUUCUCCUCUUUGAGAGUGAUACUUCAAAGCCCCAACAACGUCUCCUACACACAGAAUGAACUAUGUUUACUAUUAAGGGAGGCACUACAUUUUCAGGAGCUUGUCAGCCACAAGAAAUGCUUUGAGCCCUCCUCUGUUAAUCAGCAUCUCGGGCCUCCAGAACACCCCAUUCCACAAACAUCCACGUUAAUGAGCAUUUUACUGUUUCUUUAAGAGCAGAAGGAACGGUCAGAUCCUAUGCUCUCGUUCUUUUGUGCGCAGACCUAUGUGGAUAUGGUUGGUGGUUCUUAGAGAGGCUUGAUGCUGACAGAAUGUGACUAAGUUAUGGAACAAAACACAUAAUCAGCAGCUUCAGCCUUGGAGCCCAGAUUCUAGAGCAGAGCCCCCAACCGGUGUGUGAGGAGUGAACCCAAGUGGCAGAGACCCUGAUGCUCUCGCCUUCGGGGUGGAGACAGGGCCCGUGGCCUCGGACCAGUUGCCCCACGCGCCAUAGAAAUGUUCUUUUCCACACGCACCCCAACAUGGGGGCAUGGGGAGUACUGGCCCUGGGGUCCAGGGAGCUCGAGCUUUGCUUUUGAUCCGUCUCUAGUUUUUCACUCAUCUCUCCUUAGCAUCUUUUUUCUUUCUUGUUUAAAAUUUUGGUAAAAUACACAUAACACAAAAUGUACCAUCUUAGCCAGUUUUAAGUGUACAGUUCAGGGGUACUAAAUAGUCACACCGUUGUGCAGCCGUCAUCAUCACAUCAUCAUCUAUCCUCAGGACGCUUUUCAUCGUGUAAAACGAAAACUAUCUGUUCAACAACAACCCCCGGUCCCUGCUCCUCCCAGCACCUGGCAGCCCCCCUUCUCUUUCUGUCUCUGAAUCUGCUACUCUGAGUAACUCAUGUAAGAGGAACCAUAGAGAACUUGCUGUUGUGUGACUGGCCCGUUUCACUGACAGUAACGUCCUCAGGGUUCAUCCGUGUUGCAGCCUGUGUCAGAAUUUCCUUCCUUUUUGGGGCUGAAUCUGCACCACGUGGCUAGACCACAUUUUGCUCACCCAUCCCGUGUGCUGACCUCAUUCCUGUUUUCACCUCAUUUUUCUUUUGCCUCUGUUUCCUUAUUGCAUUUCUGCAAGCAAGGUAGGCAGAGGCUUAGAAAGUCAGUCCAGGUUUGAAACCUGGGUACUGGUUUUGCUGAUUAUGAGACCUUGGGUAGCAGAUUACUUAACCUCACUGAGCUUCAUUCCUCACCUCUGAAAUGGAUAUAUACUGGCGUUACUUAUCGCAUAGACCGUCCUUAGAAUUAGACAGGACAGCAAGUGUAUGUGAAGACUUAGCCCAGUGCCUGGCACAAUGUUCAGCAAAUCUUAGCUGCUGAAGCAUGCUCAUCCUGUGUACUUUCAGAGCUUCUCAUUCUUUUUGGCAUGAGGUUGAGAAGAAGGAGGAUCCUAAAUUAAAUAGAGCUGAUUUCAACCCACUGCCAUGAGUGUGCUUUAGUGUCCUGCCCUAGGGUGUGAAGGUGAAUUUGAGACUGUGCUGCGCCCUGGGCACCCCAAGGCCUCCCGUCUUGAAGCUCUCUGUCUGGCCCUGAGAUGACAGCACUAGCAAAGCUCUGGGUGUCCGUGGGCUCUGGUGCUGGAGUGAGUUCCUGCACGUGCACAGGAGGGGGCCCAGGAUCCAAUCAGUCCCAGGAGCAGCGAUCCAGUAGCUCUGAGGAGGCAUCUGGAACGGAGGAGGAAGAGGAGGACCAGCCCAGCUUCAUCAUGGGGCGGUGACGAUGUUGCCACAGCAGCUGUCAGGAGCGUGGCCCGUUCUGUGACUGGGCCUCAGAAAACCCUCCACACGCCCCGAGGGGAAGGGACCUCUGUUUCAGCUUAGUUUCCCUACCAAAGCCUCGAUGGAUAGAAGCAAGCGGGAACCCAUCAGAGGGCUCACAGCCCCACUAUCGGAGAGAGGACCGUCUCCUGGACACUCGAGGGCACUGCCAAGCACGGUUUGUUCACAUUCCCGCUAAAAGGAAGGAAAAUGUAAAACCUGUGAACCACUGGUGCCUGUUCUCACAUAAUUGGAUGGUGAUGAGUUUGGGGCUUGCUUCUGUGAAAGGAAUGUUUUAUUCAGUAAAGAACAAAAAAACUUCAGGUUUUGUUCAGACCGGUGAAAUGAUUGCAGAAGCUGUCGUGAAGGUUGUGAAUGACAUGAUAGGAACGGGGCCUGUUCCUAGACCCAUUGACAGAAAUGGCCUUGGCUCUGGAGCUAACUCGCAGUGCAGGGCACACGGCCUCCCUCUCCUUCACCAGAGGGUGCACACUGCACCCCAGAAUGCAUGCUCCCGCCCAGCAGCUCCCAGCACACAGUGCAAAGGGGGACGUAGGACUUAACCACGGGCUGAGCCAGAAGAGAGGACCUUGAUGUGUGACAAUAAGCAGGUAGAGAAUCCAGGCGGGGCUGGACCAGAGCAGAUGAUCCAGGGAAUGAAUCCUCGCUGCACUGCAGGGAGGUGGAUGAAUUGGCCAAAAGCUGUAUUUUCAUCUGGAGGUAAAGGGGCUCUAAACAGAAAAUGAGAGGUGACUGAGGGCACCUUUCAGGCCAACAGGAAGGAGAGAUGGUUUCUAAUUAGAGCCUUUGCUCACUUUUUGGAUAUCUCCAAGUUUCUAGGUUUAUUUUGUACCUUUUAUGGAGUUUGAUACAAUUAAGAAAAAUAGUUUCCCUUCCCUCAAAGCCACUGAGAAACAUCUUUUUUUUCGUUUCCUGGCCCUACCCUGAGCCAUGUGACAUCUGUGAUAGCUUCUGUCUUUCCUCAGUUCAAGUCACAGGAAUUUUUCUUUCCCAGGAAGCUGAAGUGGAGAGUCAGCCCUAAUAAAUUAGCACACACCCUGACUGUA